CACAAAUAGUGCCUUUUCUCGUAAAAAUAUUAAGUAACUGGAGACAGUUAUUGAAAUCUAGAAAACCUUUUAAAAAUGAGCUUCCCCCUAAUGUUUUAAUUCCAUAGAACUGCCUCCUGAAAUGAUGGCUGUGGAUCAGCGAGGGAAAUUGCCUCCCGCGUCUGUUCUGGCAGGCUCUCUGGUUCCCUUCCCCCCUCUCCUAUUCCCCAAAACCACGGUGAGCACCACUGAAACUCUGGGAACAAUUCUGUAAACUCUGAAGCUUGAGGAAUUUCACAGCCCCUCGGCCUCCAGAACGGAAGGAGGGUUGUGACUUGUCUUUUCGGCUUGUCAGAAGUGCCACCAUGUUGGGAGGAAGCCCAGGCCACAUGGAGAGGCCCACUAGUCCUCUGUCAAUAGGCAGCGUCAACCACCAGCCAGUGGGAGUGAUCCUUCAGAUAGUUCCAGACCCUAGCUGAGGGCCCAGAGGCUAUGGACAAGAUGGCCCUGCUGUGCUAAAUUCCUGACCCCUGCACACUUUGGAGGUAAUAAAUAACUGUUGUGGUUUUGAGUUACUAAGUUUUGGGGGAUAGUUUGUUAUGCAGCAAUAGCUAGCUAAUACAUAGGCUCCAUGGGCAAGCUGGGCCCACAGAGAGGAAGAGCCCUCAGGGUCUGUGGGAGACCUCCAAGUAAACAGACGAUUCUGUUUGAUGAGGCUUCAACAGAGGGCAGCACUGGGAAAGUGUGUCCAACUCCCCUGGGGGAGUAGGGGUGGGGGUUCAGAAAGGCUUUUUGGAAGAGAUGACACUUUAGCUUGGUCUGGAAAGACAGGUAAGAGCUAGCCAGGGGAGGGUGGAAAAUGGGGCUGAGUGUGGGGAGAGGGCACUCUGGGGAGAACCUGGAUGAGGGGCCAAAUCCCUGGGGAAUGGCUCUGCAGGGAGUUUGGCUUUCUCACUCGGUAGCUGAGUGACAGGUCUAAGAACUGGCAUCCUCCGGGGCCUCACAGCCGGCACAGCCCCUUGCAUCUGCCCAGAACAAAUGGAGUCAAGACUGUGACUCAGAAACCCUGUCCCUAGCCGGGCUCUGCGCCCUGGCAGGGUGUGAGGCAGUGGCCCCACAGACAGCAGUGGCGAGUUCUCCGGGAGCGUGCCCUUCUUCCUUGGGCUGAGCCAGCCUGUGAAGGGACUGGGGACUGGUGGUGGUGAGGAGAGUCAGCAGCCAUGGCCAGUGUUGACCGGCCAGCAUUGGGAAGUCCAGAAAUGGUCCCCUUCUCAGAGGGGAAAGGUGUUUGAUAGGAAUCACAGCAGCAUCAAAGUGUGCAGGUUGAGGCUGACUUGCUGCGCAGCAAGACCGGGAUCUGGCUCCUUCAGAUGCUCCCGGCCACUCCCUGUGGCCCACCCACACUGCAUGACCCAUGUUCUCCAAACACAACUUCUCCCUGGUAUCCUUGGGUCUUGGCCUGGGCUCCUCCUUAUGCCAGGAAUGUCCUUCCUGCCAUUUUCACCUAAUCCCUGGUCUCAGGUGGCCCCUCCUCCAGGAAGACCUCAGAGAUACCCCAGGCUCCUCAGGAUGCCCCCUCUGUCACAGCCCUGAGAUGUGGGGAUGCUAUGGCCUUGCCAACUAGGCAUAGGACAGUGGGACGUUAGGGUAGGUGGGCUUGGUGUGCGUGUGUGUGUCUGUAAGUAACUUGUGGUUCGGAUCUGUGUGUCAUAACUAAGGGUGUGUGCUUGUGUGUGUCUGUGACUCACUGUCCAUGUGUAUCUCAUCCUGGAUAUGUCCAUAUGUGUCUUUUGUGACUGCAUGCCUAUGUGUGUUCGUGUCUGUGUGGGAUGCUCUCUUGGGGCCAAGAGCAGGGGGUGGCGACAGUCACUACCCAGUCAAAAGCCAGCCAGCUGUGUCCCCAUGAGUCUCUUGCCUGCCAGCCUCCCAGCCAGCCCGCCCCAGCACGACACUCUGUGCCCCCUCUUCCCGGUUCUGACUCACGGCACAGACACAGCCUGUGGUGCUGCUCGCCCUCCGGCGCCCCUGCAUGGGUGGCAUGCGUGUGGACAUGGCCAGCAUCUGCCUGGUCUCCAUGCUGCUCACUAAGGCAUGAAUUAUAAUUCCUGGGCCGGCUGCAUUUACAACCAACUUGACAGAAAUAAUUGUUGAGUGAGUUGAAAGAAAAAAAAAUGUAACAGGGAACUUCAACCCAGCUAUCCAUCCGUGUCAUUAAAUUAGGCUAAUCUAAAUCCUCAGAGCCUAAUUUAGCAGCCUCCAAGGCCAACUGAAACCUUACCCUACAUGGCUCGCUGGAGUUCCCGUUACAAAGUCCCCAGCAGAGGUGAGCUUCAGGGGACACGGUGGACAGUGACCUCACAGCCUGAGGACAUGCAGAGCCUGUGGCGGCCACCAGCCACUCCUCAGGGACCUGGCUUUGCAGCAGGAAGCCUGAGCUGAGAGGCAGGCCUCUUUCUUGUGUUGCCCCUGCCUGUGUGUAAGUCACCCGGCCGCCGCAGGCCUCCUCUGCUCUGCCCAGCUCACCAGGGCCAUUAGGAGCAUCGACGGGGAGCAGCUGGGGCAGAGGCGAGGCCCGGCUGCUCCAUAGUUGCCUUAGGUUUGCUUCUCCAGGCUGUGGCUUGUUGAUACCACCCACUGGGUGAACGGGAGAAAGAAUGAGACAUGAACCUGUGCUAUAUAGUCCAACUUUUGUAAGGACCGCUGUGAAUCAUUAAUUCCUUUGCCCAUCCAGACACUUAGUGACUCAUUAAUUCAACCAUUCCUCCCCUCCUUUAUUCAUUCUUUUCUUAGAUCCCUCACUCCCUCAUUCUCUCUGAUUUACUCAUUCAUUCGCGGGCCUUCCUUCCCUUCCUUUCAUUCCAUGCUUUGGGGAAUGGCCUUGUAGAUGCUCAUCCCAGUGGCUGCCCAGAAAUGAAAAGAACUUGGGGCCCACGGCCCCAGUCAGUGCCCAGGCCAGGCUCCCGAACUUGCCCCCUCUUCCUCUCUCCUUGUCUGUGGCUCCCACUGCCCCCUCACUGGAGCGCACUUCCUCUCUGCUCCCCUCCCUCAGGGGGCGUGGGAGCUGAUGGUGGGCUGGUGGGAAGGCCUUUGCUGGGGACACUUGGGGGGAAAGGUGUUGAACUGACCUGAUAAAUGAACCAACAGGGAUGUGUGGCCUGGCCACCCUCCCCCUUUGAUCAAAAGCCUCUGAACCCCUGAUGACAUCCCAUGGCGUAUUCCUCUAUUAAUCAGAAAAGCCUUGACAGAUGUAAGCAAUUUGUCUUUGGAAAGGACUGGAAGGGGCCGGGGGAGGGAGCUCACUCCAGCCCCGUCCUCGUGGAGAAGAUGCUGAGGGUAAGUCUUGAAAUGGGGGCUGAAUUCAUGCAUACUAAGAAGGCAAGAGAACGAGAGCCAGGCAGAUCAGAAAGAGAAGCGUUUUCAUUUCAAAGCAUAUUUCUUCCUUGAUUGAACAGGGCCCCCCCAACACCACCAUGAGCCACGACGCUGGAAUGAGGCUGGGAUCCAGGGGUUAAUCCCACCCAGACCCUGUCAGGGCUCUGAUGCUUGAAGUGACAGGGGCUCCCCGGGUGGGCUCAGGUGUGGCUCCCAACACUCUCCUGAGGCCGUGCCUGCUGGUGAUGAUGACACUCGCACCAAGCACCACCGAACGCCAAAUGAAUGUGCCGUGUGGCGGGUCCGGAGCUGAACUGGAGGUGCAGAGAGGAAAUAACGUCAGCUCUCCAAAACCCCCCACCUGAACUGCUGGGCAGAAAAAUCACCCGAGAAUGGGUUUUGGCAUGGGGUGGACAAGGGAGGGAGUGUAGCAGGUACAGAGUGGAUACAGAGAGGGAGUCACCAACUCAACAAGAAGGGACCCUCCCAGAGGGGGAGACGUAGGCUGGGACUUCGAGGAUGAGAAGAUGUGCUUGCAUGAGAAGGGCCUUCGCUUCUUUGUCAGUUUGGAGAACUUCUACUCAUCCUUCAAGACCCAGCUUGGGCCUCCCCCUCUGUUAACCUCUUUUCCUCACUGAUUCUUGAGGUCAGGAACUGUGUCUGAUUCAUCUCUGUGUCCCUGUGCCCAGCCCAUGGCCUGGCAUAGAGUAACAACAAUUGCUCCCUGAUGUGAGUGGAAUGGAGUUACAGGCAGUGGGAACAGCAUGUGCAAAGGCUUGGAGGCAGGCAUGAUUCAGCACAGGGUACAGAGAACUGCAGCCUGUGUUUGUAUCAGUGGGGGUGUGAGUAAACGAUGUUCUGUGUCAGCAGGGAAACUGAAAGCCAAAUUGCAUUUCUCGCUUGUCGCUUGGCUAUCUGGCACCAUACCAAGGCAGCCUAAAGAUCUGACUGCAGCCGAGGAG
ensembl:lncRNA